AAGGGGUGGUAAAUUUCAUCUAAAGCUAAAUAUUGGCCAGAGACCGAUAGCGCACAAGUAGAGUGAUCGAAAGAUGAAAAGCACUUUGGAAAGAGAGUUAAACAGUACGUGAAAUUGUUGAAAGGGAAGCGCUUGCAACCAGACUUGCGCGCGGCCGAUCAUCCGGUGUUCUCACCGGUGCACUCGGCCGUGCUCAGGCCAGCAUCGGUUUUGGCGGCUGGAUAAAGGCCCUAGGAAUGUAGCUCCUCUCGGGGAGUGUUAUAGCCUAGGGUGCAAUGCAGCCUGCUGGGACCGAGGACCGCGCUUCGGCUAGGAUGCUGGCGUAAUGGUUGUAAGCGGCCCGUCUUGAACCCACGGACCA
rnacentral:rRNA from 1 species